rnacentral:rRNA from 1 species
UGGUGGAGCGAUUUGUCUGGUUAAUUCCGAUAACGAACGAGACUCUAGCCUGCUAAAUAGUUCAUCGAUCCAUAUCGCGUCGAUGCAACUUCUUAGAGGGACAAGUGGCUUUUAGUCCACACGAGAUUGAGCAAUAACA